GAUGAACGCUGGCGGCGUGCUUAACACAUGCAAGUCGAACGAUGAAGCCCAGCUUGCUGGGUGGUUUAGUUGCGAACGGGUGAGUAACACGUGAGUAACCUGCCCUUCACUCUGGGAUAAGCCUGGUCAACUGGGUCUAAUACCUGCUAGGAGCGCCUACCGCCUGGUGGGUGUUGGAAAGAUUUAUCGGGUUUGGAUGGACUCGCGGCCUAUCCGCUUGUUGGUGAGGUAAUGGCUCACGAAGGCGACGACGGGUAGCCGGCCUGAGAGGGGGAACGGCGACAAUGGGACUGAGACACGGACCAGACGCCUACGGGAGGCAGCAGGGGGGAAUAUUGCACAGUGGGCGAAAGCCUGAUGCAGCGACGCCGGGUGAGGGAUGACGGCCUUCGGGUUGUAAACCUCUUUCAGUAGGGAAGAAGCGAAAGUGACGGUACCUGAAGAAGAAGCACCGGCUAACUACGUG
rnacentral:rRNA from 1 species